rnacentral:rRNA from 1 species
AGCGAACGCUGGCGGCAGGCCUAACACAUGCAAGUCGAACGAACUCUUCGGAGUUAGUGGCGGACGGGUGAGUAACACGUGGGAACGUGCCUUUUGGUUCGGAAUAACUCAGGGAAACUUGUGCUAAUACCGAAUGUGCCCUUCGGGGGAAAGAUUUAUCGCCAUUAGAGCGGCCCGCGUCUGAUUAGCUAGUUGGUGAGGUAACGGCUCACCAAGGCGACGAUAAGUAGCUGGUCUGAGAGGAUGACCAGCCACACUGGGACUGAGACACGGCCCAGACUCCUACGGGAGGCAGCAGUGGGGAAUCUUGCGCAAUGGGCGAAAGCCUGACGCAGCCAUGCCGCGUGAAUGAUGAAGGUCUUAGGAUUGUAAAAUUCUUUCACCGGGGACGAUAAUGACGGUACCCGGAGAAGAAGCCCCGGCUAACUUCGUG